rnacentral:lncRNA from 1 species
AUUUAUAAUCAACAGACAUCUAGGCUUGCUGUCAAAGCUUCUGUUCAACAUGAGAUGACCGCCGUGUAGUAAACUGAUGAACCCCGACCCUGAUCAACGUCAGAUGAAUGCCGUGUGGUAAACUGAUGAACCCCGACCCUGAUCAACGUGAGAUGAACGCCGUGUGGUAAACUGAUGAACCCCGACGCUGAUGAACGUGAGAUGAACGCCGUGUGGUAAACUGAUGAACCCCAACCCUGAUGAACAUGAGAUGAACGCCGUGUGGUAAACUGAUGAACCCCGACCCUGAUGAAUGUGAGAUGACCGCUGUGUGGUAAACUGAUGAACCCUGACCCUGAUCAACAUGAGAUGACCGCUGUGUAGUAAACUGAUGAACCCUGACCCAUUAGGCUUUGGCUACAGAAUGUGGAAAUAAGUUGUGUUACUACAUGUGUGUAAUCCUAGGGUGCAGGACACUGGCCGGGAGGUUCCAUAGAGUGAUGGGUUGUGCAGGUAACUCAUCCUCUAGUCCUCUGUAAGCUCCUAGAAGGAAGAAAUUAUGUCCUUUAGACUAAUAAAAUUCCUCCAAACCAAAUACAGCACCUACUGUGAAGACACAAAGAUACUUUUAGAAUAGUAAAAACUUUAUCCAUUGAGAAAUUCCUUAAUGAAACAGUAUCCAAGAAGUCAUUUGCCAGCAGAUUUCUUAGAGGUGCGAUAAAGAAGAGGACAUUGCCAGUCGUCACAGCAGCUGCAAUAGCUCCUCUCUAUUGUUAAACAGUGGCAUAUCUUGUACAGGUUUUCAGUUGACAAUCAAUUUUAAAAAUUAGUUUCGGUCCCAUCAAUCAAUUAUUUAUUAACCCAUCAAUAAAAAUUUAAAUGCUCUGUGAGGUACAAUAGCUAUUAAAAGAGACAGAGGCACUUUCUGUGUCCAGAGGGGCUUUUAGUCUGCUCUGGAAAGCAAGAUGUAUGCAGAUGAGUGACGCAGUGCAUCGUGUGGAUGCAAAGGGAGGGACUCACAUGGGAACCAGAGGAGCUACGAAGGGAGGCAGCGGGGACUGGUGGGUCGAGACCUGGAAAUAACACAUGAAUAGGCAACAAAGGUUUCCGUUCCUCUUCCAUGCACUUCAGUCCUUGAAAAACGUCUCACCACGGAAUUCCACAGCGUACCAAGCGAUUCCACAGCUUGAUGGCACACUCUCCUUUCUCAGCAUUCUUGAAAAUGGCAUGUGAGCCAAGCCAUCUUACUGAGAAAUUACCUUAAACCAUUUGAUGAACCAAAAAUAUUUUGUAAUACCCAUCUCUGACAUUAGGUAGGCAAAUCACACAGAAACACCGAGGUCUUCUGAGUCAUAUUUAUCUGAAAAAUCACAGCUUGGGUGCAUGUGAAGCCAGAGGAGCACUCCUGGGGCCUGCGGUGCCAUCGCUCAACUCCCCUGGGCUUCACAUGGCCAUGGAGCACCCAGCAAGUGCAGGCUCUGAGCCUUCAGGGAGGGGCGGCAUCAGCCAGCACCAUCGUCUCCUGGGUCUUGUGCCUCUUCCUUGGUUGCGGUGUCAGGGCCAGAAUUGGGCAAUUCCGGGUGACAUCCAGGUGUGGCUGCUGACACGGAGCACAGGUGAGGUUCACUGAGGACGCCCUGCUCCUGUGGUUUGCAGCCCCGGCCUUCUCUUCGAGGACGCCUCUGCUCUUCUGCCUCACAUUCGGAUUGGACCUUCUUCAGCACAGCCAGUGGCCAAGGCUUCCUCCCUGGGGCUCAGUGGAGCAGGACAGAUGCUGCAUCCAAACUCUUCCAUUGGGUUCCAGUCUGUUCCAGUCAUGCCCUUGAGCCUCUAAAGCUCCUAGUUCCAUAGACCACAGGAAACGCAGGCGAGAGGGCAGCCCGGCGGGAAGGAAGGAAGAGGGUGGUGUUGAGCCAGUGGCACAAUGGACUUUAGACAUCGCGCCUGUUUUGUACUCUCCAAGCCGGACUUCUCUACUCGCCGGCCUGGCGCUGAUGCCCAGAGGCCCCCUGUGCUUGUGAUCGUGGCCUUAGACAGUUCCCUGCCCUUCGUUCCAGCCCCGCCACACAGUCUGCACGGCCUCCACCGCAGCUCUGGUGAGCCUCUUGGCCAGCUCCUGGUGACAGCGUGCACCUCCCUGCUCUGAGAAGGUCUCCCUCUCCUCUCUGCCCACCCUGUACAGAGACAUCUUUCAAGACCGUCCCAGAGGAGAGUGGCCUCUCUCCUCCACCCCAAGAGGACAGCCUCUCAUGUGGCUGUCACCCAUCUGACCCCUACCACAGACCUGAGGGUAAGUGGUGCUCACGGGCCCAUAUCUGCCAGCCUGCGCCUGGUUGGAGACGCCUCCCUCUCAUUUGUCCUUGCUUGCUGCAUGACUUUGGCAAGUGCUUGCCUCUUUGAGACCCUCAGUUUUCACACCUGAGAAAUAGAAAGGCGGUGCCUGCCCCAGCUGCCCCGCAGAAGAGUUUAGGUGGCAUGUGAGAAAAUGCCUUAUGAACUACGAUGUGAGCAACUGCAGCAUGCUGUGAACACCGCUUUCAUGAGCUCCUCGGGGGCAGGGUAACACCCAAGCAUUCUUACACCUCCCACCGGGAGGCGUAUGCAAAUGAAGGCCAUCAAGCUUGUUUGAUCAGUGAUGUAUUUCUUUAUUUUUAGUUGUAGGAUAUGACAACUCUAUUUUUAGCAGCUAUAGCGGCCAAAACUUUGUUACCACUCAGCAGUUGUGUGUUCUUCGAGAGUAGGUUUUGUGCUUUCAAAAUAUCUGAAUCCUCUACCAUUUACAGGUGUUCUGUGCAUACUUGGUGUAUGAGUUGCUCAGGAAGGAAGAAAAAUAUGCCCUUUUUAUCUUUUAAAAAGAUGGCUUGGCUUGGUACUCCUUUGCCUGCAUUCCUUCUCUGUAUUUAGAAACGAACCCACGCAAGUGAACGUAAAGGAAGCCUCUUGAAAGAUA